AGCCUCCUGGUGCUUCGGAGCUCAUUAACUGUUUAAUAAUUGUAAACAAAGCCGCCAAAGAUUGAGAAAAGAUGGACAGGUUUGUAAGUACUUGCGUAAGUGCUUUCGUGAAUCUGGCCCCUUGUUAUUAAUUGUUAUAGUGAUAUAUAGAUAUUGUCCUUGAGGUAUUAUCCACGGGGUCAUUGACUGUAUCUAAGAGUAGAGGUGAACACAGUGGCUGUGCUCCACGGGGUCAUUGACUGUAUCUAAGAGUAGAGGUGAACACAGUGGCUGUGCUCCACGGGGUCAUUGACUGUAUCUAAGAGUAGAGGUGAACACAGUGGCUGUGCUCCACGGGGUCAUUGACUGUAUCUAAGAGUAGAGGUGAACACAGUGGCUGUGCGGUGAGUGUUGCCCUCAUCACUUCCAAAAUCCUUGGACAUCAUAAUAAAUUUUUUGUUUCAAGUAACAUGUGCAUCAUAGAUUCUUGGAUGUACAGUUAAUGAACACACAUGCACACACAAUAUAUAUAUACAUAAAAUGAAGACAAUUAAAUACAUGGAUAUGCAUGCAUAUAUAUAUAAAAAAAUACACACAGUAUACAUACAGAUUUAGUUUUAGUUAAUACUUUAUCCCAAGUACUAGAUGAAGCCCUUUUGUUCAAUAUUCAGAAAUGCACAAUACGCAUCACUGAUGGUAGUUUUUAUUUAUUUAUUUUUUUUUUUAUUUUAAUUUAUCAGGUGAGCAAAAUUUGUCACCACUGUUAACUCACUUUUUUUUUUUUAAAUAUCUAGUUGCAUAUCAUUCCAUGGCAACACCACUCUUACUGCAAGCUGUGGUGAUGGCAGAUUCCCCCCCCCCCCUCAGAUGACCCACUUAGAGUAGUGUGAAACCGAUGACGCUUAUAUUAAAACAAUUUUUAGGUGUUUCGUGUAAUGCUCCUUAUCUCCAGGUAUAAACAGGGCAGAAAUUUGCUGAAGGUAACUGGCAAAGUAUUCAGGAUUGAUUUUAUGCAGUUGUUACAGCAUUCAUAGUUUUGUGGUCAUGUUUGCCAGUUGCCGGUAUAUUUAGAGCCUAUUUAACCUGCUAUCUGGUGGAAUGUAAUCAAACCAAAGACUUGUAUACAUCAGAGAAACAUUUCAUCAGGAGCAUAAUUUGGAUUUUGGCCUCUCCCUAUACAUAUUGGAAGAGGUUCAAAAUUUGUAAUCAUUCCAUAUGUUGUGUACAUCAACGAUAGCAGUGUACUCACAGUUCUCCCAUCUCUGCGUGUAUGUGGUCAAUACGUGCACUAGUCUCUCCUGUGUUUGUGUGUAUGCCAGUUGUGCACAUUCUUGUUUUAUUAUUAAAAUCUGUGUAAAACAAGUACUUGUACAUACUUCAGCAUAGGUAUGGCAACUUUUUGUCUUGCAUUCAGAUUCUACGAGCAUAGCUAGAUUUCUCUGUUGUCAUGCAGGGAAUAUGCAUCUUACCUGAAAUCUAAUUAACUCUUCUGGAUUAUUAUAUAUCUCCUUUAGACCAGGAAUCUAAUAAUCUUCUGGUUUUUUCGUGUGUCAUCAAUGUCUGUUUUUGUUAUGGUUGUAAUUGUGAUAAAACAUCGGUUUCUAUUUUGCCUUGUUAUUGAAAAUAGUCCAAAUUUCUUAUGUAUUAUGUGAAGAGAUUUACAGCCUUUAAUGCUGUUACUGUUGAUAAUAGUAAGUUGCCAGGCAUGUAUUAUAACUGAUUCCCAAGAAAAAUGCAGCAAUUUAAUGUUAUAGCCAUUCAAGCUAUCAUAAUGAUUAAGAAUUUGGACUUAAGUGUCUUAGAAUAGAUGUCAUCAAAUAAAGUUGACUGUGUCCUCAUGAAAAUAAUAUAGCUUAAGACUUUAUUUAUCAAAUAAAUGACCUGCAAUAUUAAAAACAGUUGUUUUAGAUCAAUUGAUGUAUAACCUUAUUGUUAUAAAGCUCAUUGUAAUGCUGUUAGUUUAGCCUUUUAAUCAGUGUAUAGUUCAUUAAAGAUCCACUGGC